ensembl:lncRNA
AUGCGACUGUGUGUGUGUGGUUUUUGCCGCCCACUGCUCCUUUCACAUCCACACCCACACACACACAUUAUCAGCGUGCAGACAUGUGCAUGUGUGUCUGAAAGCCAGAUCCAUGUGAAACUGAUACUAGCAGUUCAUUUAUUUUUAAAACACUACAGUUAUUGGGAUGUUUCGUUACAUGGAUAUAUGGAUAUUUAUAGCAAUGCCAAGAUCAGAUUCUCUCCAGACGUUUUGGCUCAAGGUUUAAGCAAAUGCCCGACAGAUGCUCCCUUUUUAUUCACCUUUAAGUUCCUCCACCUUCUUUUUCUUUAUCUCUCUCUGUUUUAAAAGAGGAGACUCAGCUGAAUCUUUGAGGAAAAAGGAAAUCCGUCAGAUCUGAAUAUGGCACCCUGCCCUCCUCGCAGAAGCUCUGGCCUCUUCAAAGCCAGAGGAAGUAAAGGCCUUUUAAGGAGCAUCCUGCAGACUUCCUGCGGGGCCAAACCUGGCCCUGUACACCCUGAGCUGCCAGCAGAGAGCUGCGUUUGACCCCCCCAAUCAGAACUGUCAACAAGUGGGUUCAGAGAUUGACGCAUUCACUUUGUUUAGGGUUGUUAUUGUGUUCUUGUGGACUUUGUUGAGUUAAUUGUUCAGUGCAGUUCAUCAGCAUGUUGAAUAUCACAUCCUGUGCUAAAAGAUUCAGGAAUGCUGGAGCCGUAGAUGCAGCAGGUUUGUGACCCAUUACAGCUGAUUCAGUUCAUAAACAGUCAACAAGACAAUGGCUAUAGCGGCUUGUAUUCUGAAUGGAUACUCACUGAAUACUGUGUGCAGUAUAUACUAUUUAAAAUAGUAUGUGAAGUAGAAUGCAUUUUCGUGAUAUGACUUUAACUGGGAAAUAAUGCAGCACUCAAGUGCACCUAGGAAGAUUGUAUCUCUAAGAUGGGCAUUUGUUAUAAUGACAUGUCACCCAUUUAAGUCUUAAACAUUGUACGAAAGUAGUCUAAACAAAACAAAUCCGUUAUAUAUGAACAAUAAACCCAAUAACUACCCAG